GUCUCUGUGGCGCAAUUGGUUAGAGAGUUAGACUGUUAAUCUAAAGGUUGGUGGUUCGAGCCCACCCAGGGACG
rnacentral:tRNA from 1 species